rnacentral:tRNA from 2 species
GGGGGGUAAGCGAAUGGUUAGCGGCGACACUGGAAAUGUCGUGCCGGGCAACCGGUUGCGGGUUCGACUCCCGUGCCCUCCG